rnacentral:misc_RNA from 1 species
CAUACAUCUUGGAGUACUAUUGCGUUGGUUUCCCCCUGACAGUCCAACAGAGAUUGGAUAUAAAGGAGAUAGCUUUCGCGCAGACAGUGCUAAGCGUAGUACUUUGAUGGUCGAAGGCUCUCAUGAUUCAUGAAAUUAAGUAGAACAUGAAUCAUGCGAAUUUCAGCAUUUACCUGAUGGGCUUCUUAUACUCUGGAGGACAGGUGCUUAAGAGUGCAUAGGAGGUUUGACAGUGAGCAAUUUUUUUUCCAGUGCAAAGCCCUUCAUGUUGCCAAAAGUUAACAUGAAUUCUGACCAGCGAUGGUGGAUGAUCAUGCCAAUUGAAAUCAAGAGCUCUGUAGAUAUGCUUCAUAUGCCAA